AUGAACUCAAGUCUCUUACCAUAUGAUUAUGAUUGGAUAAGAAGGGAAGAACUUGAUUCCCCAUGGGUUUCACAAAGUGCAUUCCCUAUACCUCAAAAAUCAAACCAAAUAGGCAAAAGUAAGAUCAAAGUGAAAAUAAAAGAUAAUGGGUCAAAUGAAGUCAAAUGGUUAUCAAGUUCUAGAAGAACUAUACUUGAAAAUUUAAUCUAUCAAGCUAUGGAAAUUGGAUUCAAAGGAAUCCACAAGAUCAAACCAAAAUCACAACAACAAUGCAAUUAG